rnacentral:rRNA from 1 species
UACGUAGGGGGCGAGCGUUGUCCGGAUUCAUUGGGCGUAAAGAGCUCGUAGGCGGCUUGGCAAGUCGGGUGUGAAAACUCCAGGCUCAACCUGGAGACGCCACCCGAUACUGCCAUGGCUUGAGUCCGGUAGGGGACCACGGAAUUCCUGGUGUAGCGGUGAAAUGACGCAGAUAUCAGGAGGAACACCGGUGGCGAAGGCGGUGGUCUGGGCCGGUACUGACGCUGAGGAGCGAAAGCGUGGGGAGCGAACAGG